rnacentral:rRNA from 1 species
AAUCCUACGGGAGGCAGCAGUCGGGAAUAUUGCGCAAUGGAGGAAACUCUGACGCAGUGACGCCGCGUAUAGGAAGAAGGUUUUCGGAUUGUAAACUAUUGUCGAUAGGGAAGAAAAAAGACUGUACCUAUCAAGAAAGCUCCGGCUAACUACGUGCCAGCAGCCGCGGUAAUACGUAGGGAGCAAGCGUUAUCCGGAAUUACUGGGUGUAAAGGGCGUGUAGGCGGGCAUGCAAGCCAGAAGUGAAAUCUGGGGCUUAACCCCCAAACUGCUUUUGGAACUGCGUGUCUUGAGUGAUGGAGAGG